rnacentral:rRNA from 1 species
UACGGAGGAUGCGAGCGUUAUCCGGAUUUAUUGGGUUUAAAGGGUGCGUAGGCGGGAUGCCAAGUUAGCGGUAAAAAUGCGGUGCUCAACGCCGUCGAGCCGUUGAAACUGGCGUUCUUGAGUGGGCGAGAAGUAUGCGGAAUGCGUGGUGUAGCGGUGAAAUGCAUAGAUAUCACGCAGAACUCCGAUUGCGAAGGCGGCAUACCGGCGCCCUACUGACGCUGAGGCACGAAAGCGUGGGUAUCGAACAGG